UACGGAGGGUGCAAGCGUUGUCCGGAUUUAUUGGGUUUAAAGGGUACGUAGGCGGUUGAAUAAGUCAGUGGUGAAAUCCUGCAGCUUAACUGUGGAGCUGCCAUUGAUACUGUUUAACUUGAGUACUGUAGGGGUAAGCGGAAUUUCCUAUGUAGCGGUGAAAUGCAUAGAUAUAGGAAGGAACACCGAUAGCGAAGGCAGCUUACUGGGCAGAGACUGACGCUGAUGUACGAAAGCGUGGGGAGCGAACAGG
rnacentral:rRNA from 1 species